AACAGUUAAAGUAAUAAAAGUACAGACGAUAAUAGAUAAGUACUGAUAAGAACAUAAGAAGGAAUUAAAAGGUUAAUUAAAAGCCUGAUUAAAAAGGUGAGUCUUUAACCUUCCUUUAAAAACAUCAACAGUCUCUGCAGUCCUGAGGUUCUCCAGCAGGCUGUUCCAGAGGCGGGGGCCAUAGUGGCUAAAUGACGCCUCGCCGUGGGUUUUGGUUCUGGCUUGUGGUGUAAUUAAAAGGCCGCUGCCAGAGGACCUCAGGGCGAGGGUCGGUAUGUUAAAAGAAGAUCAGACAAAUAAGAAGGCGCAAGGCCGUUAAGACAUUUAAAAACUAAUAAAAGAACCUUAAAAUUGAUCCUGAAGUGGACGGUGUUACGACCCCCAAAAGGAGUCCAACAUAUUUAAAGAAGGGACACAGGAGAACAAGUAAGGAUCAAACAACAGUUUAUUGUAAAGUUUUAAACUGCUUCUUUUCGCUUCUUCGUUCUGUGAAAGAUGGUUUUCACUGGCAAAUAUUAAAUAGUUUGUUGUCCAGAACAGAAGAACAAGGAUCCCUUUACCACCCGUGCCCCAAAAUCAGGAAAAAAAAAACAAAGUACAAACAAAAGAUGGCCCAGGAGCACCAGCCAAACAAAACAAAAGGACGUGGUCCCCGGACAACUGCUAUACAGUCGUAGGAAUGGUUUCCACGUCCAACUAAAGAAAAAACCCCAACUAAACCCAGCAAAGAAAACACGAAAACAUGACUACUGGUCACCCCUGGGCAAAAUGAACAAAGUGCAAAGAAAAGAACAGAAGGCUAAGCGGCUACCAUGGCGUGUCCAGAGCCAAGCAGCCAAACCUUCAGGGCGAGGAGCACACCAGGUGUGUGACGAGCUCCACAGCUGCAGUGAGGAGGAGAGAAUCAGAGAGAGGCGGCCACGAGGCGAGGCGACCUCAUGGCCUGGGAACAGCCCCUUUUAAAGGGCAGCCACGCUAAUUAAUUAAGUAAAAAAAACUACUUAAUUACUUAACACAAACAUAUCAAAAAAAGAAAUAUCCCAAAAAGAAGAGAAUAUUUAAAGAAAAACUAGACAAAAAAUAAAGGGUAACAAAAUUAUGUGCUCCCAGCACAGACCACCCCCACCCAAAGACACUGAAUAGGAUUGCAGAAGGCCUAAAAAGAAACCCAACACACCCCGCAACCUAUUCAGUGAAGGCAAACUGCAGCUUAAAGGCGCGAAUGCGCAUCAGCAACAACUUAUUCUUGCCCUGGAUAUGCUUAAUGUCUACAUUAAAAAAUUGCAACCUCAAAGACCAGUUCAUAAGGCAACGAUUCUUGUUCUUCAUGCGGUCCAAAAAAACCAGUGGGUUAUGGUCCGUAUAAACCAACGUGGGCACACUGGAAGCAUCUACAUAAACCUCAAAGUGCUCCAGGGCCAGGACCAAGGCUAGUGCUUCCUUCUCAAUGGUUGAGUACCACUUCUGAUAUCUAUUCAACUUCUUUGAAAAGUAAGAAACCAGAUGUUCCACACCAUCAGCUCCAUCUUGCAUCAGGACAGCUCCCACACCAACAUAACACGCAUCAACAGCCAGCUUCAACGGCACAUCAAACCGAGGCGCAGCCAGAACAGGAGCAUUAACCAAUAGCGCUUUAGUUUGCUCAAAGGCAGACUGACACAAACCGGACCAAGAAAAAUCCACUUUGGGACUAAGCAAGUCUGUCAAAGGAGAAAAAAACUGCAGAGAAGUUUUUGCAAAACCCUCUAUAGUAGCCCACCAUUGCAAGAUAGCGACGCAGCUCAGUACGGUUAACAGGAACUGGGACCAAUAAAAUCGCCUCCACCUUAGCCUGAACGGGGCGCACCUGACCUCCUCCUACCCUUUUCCCCAGAUAGGUUACAGUCGCUUUACCAAAUUCACAUUUGGAAAGGUUCACAGUCAGAUUGUCCUCACUCAGACGUCCAAAAACCGCACUCAAAUGCUCAACAUGCUCAGUCCAAGUAGCAGAGCAAACAACCAAAUCGUCCAGGUAAGCCUCACAAAAUGCUAAGCCAGACAAAACCACAUUCAUCAGCCGCUGAAAAGUUGCUGAGGCAUUACACAUCCCAAAAGCCAUCACAGUAUAUUGCAGGAAAUCAUCCGGCGUGACAAAAGCAGAGACCUCCUGAGCACGCUCCGUCAAAGGUACUUACCGGUAACCUUUCAACAGAUCUAAUUUGGACACAAAUCAAGCAGCACCAACAUGAUCCGUACAAUCCUCCAUACGAGGCAGUGGAUAACAGUCAGGCCUCAUCACCCCAUUAACUUUUCUGAAAUCGGUACAAAACCGGUCUUCUCCAUUGGUUUUAAUAGCCAAGAGACACGGAGAACUCCAUGCACUACAGCUCUUUACAGCAAUGCCGUGUUCCACCAUGUACUCCACUUGUUUUUUCAAACGCCGCCGCUUGUCUGGAUUCACCCUGUAAGGAUGUUAUUUAAUAGGUUUAGAAUCACCUACAUCAAUAUCAUGACUGAGCACAUGCGUCUCAGUGGGAACAUCAGCAAACAGUGACCUAUGAGACUGGAUCAAAUUGAUGACAUCAGACUGCUGGGACAAAUCAAGGUGGGACAACAAAAGAGGCAAGUUCUCCAAUGGCACUGAAUUAGAAAACUUUCCCUGCGUCAGAGCCGCCGAAAAAACAUUGCUCUCCACCUCAGCACCGGACAGCUCCUCCUGCAUGUCCGUAAACAAACUGACCCGAGGCUCAGGUGUGUCAGUCUCAACAGGGUCAGACACAGAAGGAUCACAUGAUCCUGAAGGAACACGCUCAACAUACGCUUUUAACAUGCUGAUAUGACACAACCGAGACCUCCACCGUCUGUCAGGCGUGGCAACCAGAUAGUCCCUAUCACCAACUUUCUUCUGAAUAAGGUAAGGUCCACUGUAGCGCGCUUGUAAGCUCGAGCCCGGAACAGGCAGCAAAACCAACACUUUAUCGCCAAGCUUAAACGCUCGAACCUUUGCCUGUUUGUCAAACACAGCUUUCAUCCUAGCUUGUGCAGCUUCAAGAUUUUCCCUUGCUAUCUCCACAGCAUGAUGCAACUUCAGCCUAAAGUUACUGACAUAAUCCAGUAAAUUCUGGUCACACUCAGCACAAAGCCACUUAUCCUUUAACAAUUUCAAAGGCACCCGAACCGUGUGUGAAAAAACCAGUUCUGAUGGGCUUAAACCCCAGCGAUUCCUGCACCACCUCCCGUACUGCAAACAUCUGAAGAUGCACCCCCUCAUCCCAGUCCUUCUCUAACUCCAAACAGUAUUUGCGCAGCGUAGAUUUCAUUGUUUGGUGGAAUCGUUGCAGCGCUCCCUGACUCUCCGGAUGGAAAGCACUAGAAUGGCAGUGCUUAAUACCAAGCUGCUUCAAAACCGGUGCAAAAAUUCUAGACAUAAAGUUAGAUCCCUGAUCAGUUUGCACAACACAAGGCAACCCAAACAGUGAAAAAAAUUUAGUCAAGGCUUUCACUACAACUGGAGUCAUUAUUUUACGCACGGGAAAAACUUCAGGAAAACGCGUAGCAGCACACAUCACAGUAACCAAGAAUUUAUUUCCUGAUUUAGUCCAAGGGAGAGGACCAACACAGUCAACCAACACACGUUCAAACGGAUCAUUCACAGCUGGAAUAGGGUACAGUGGAGCUGGCGGGAUUGUUUGAUUUGGUUUGCCAGCCACUUGGCACCAAUGACACGAAUUGCAAUGACGCACCACAUCACGUUUUAAUCCUGGCCAAAAAACACGCCGCAGGAUACGAUCGUAUGUUUUCCGUAUGCCAAGAUGACCUGCCAGCGAAUUAUCAUGACCAAGCUUCAAAAUCUCAGCUCGAUAUGAAGCGGGCACUACAACUUGUGUUACCACACUCCACUCUUCUACAGGAGAAACAUUCAAAGGCGUCCAUUUACGCAUCAACAAUCCAUCCCUGAAAAAAUAACCGGUGGACAUUUCUUCAGACCCCCCCAUUCGCGAUCUCAAUAAACAGCUUAGCCAAGGUUUUAUCUGCUUUUUGAUCAGCAAUUAAUCGUUUUUUCUGGAAAUGGACAACGUGCUCAAAUCAGGUGUAUGCGUUUGACAUUUCUCAGUGCUCUCAUGCAACUCAGACUCUUCACCUGACUCACUCCCACUCAGGAAACUAUCACUCAAAUCAGUGUCAUUCUGACUGUCAGACUGCUCACGUUUAGCUGCCGCCCGUGUGACUGCACACGAAGUGAACACCUCUGGAUAUCUACUUGCCAAUUCAUCAGGACCAGUACACAAAACUGGGACAGACGUAACCUCAGGAGUAGCUAAAAUUCGACCUCCGGCCAAAUCAUUUCCCAUUAUGACAGACACACCAUUUAUGGGAAAACAAGGGCGCGCCUCCACAAUAGCGUCCCCAGACCACAGAUCUGACUGAAUAAAUAUUCGAUGUAAAGGAACUCCUAUCUGCUCCAUGUUAAAUCCACGGACCGGAACCUCAUAUACGUGUAUAUAUAUAUAUAUAUAUAUAUAUAUAUAUAUAUAUGUUCUGGGAGUGACUGUCAUAGCUGUGGUUUGUGGUCUGGGAUGAGUAAAAGCAGCUGCUGUGAGAAAUAAAUCAUCUCCCUGAGGCCAGCUUAUGGCUGAUGUGUCCUCCUCCAUCUCCAGCAUUAAUUAACCAUCAGUAGAAUAAAUCUGUUCCACCUGGGGUUCAUCUCCAGCUCCUGCUCCACAGAUUCUUUGUUGUUUUUCCUGCGGCUGCAGCGUCCCGGGACACCAAAGAAAUGUUUUAUAGAAUCCAUAAAUGUUCUCCUUCAGCAGGUUUUGGAAAGCCGACGGGAUGAAGUGAGAUGUUGACAGCAGGAAGAAUAUUCCUCGUCAGGACUCCCAGUUUUUGUUAUUAUUUGGAACAAAAAUCUGUGUAUAACAAGAUAAAACUGAAAAUGUACAGUUUUUGACCAUAAAUUAAAAAAUUGUUUCCAUUUUUGUCUUAAGGACAUUAAAACCUGGAUGACUUUUAACUUCCUACUGCUAAAUUCAGACAAAACUGAAGUCAUUGUAUUUGGCCCCAAACAUCUUAGAAACUCGCUUUCAAAGCAAAUAGUUACUCUGGAUGGCAUCACAUUGGCCUCCAGUACUACUGUGAGGAAUCUUGGAGUUAUUUUUGACCAGGACAUGUCCUUUAACUCACACAUAAAGCAAGUCUGUAGGACUUCCUUUUUUCACCUGCGUAAUAUUGUAAAAAUCAGGAACAUUCUGUCUCAGAGUGAUGCAAAAAAAUUAGUUCAUGCUUUUGUUACUUCCAGGCUUGACUAUUGCAAUUCCUUAUUAUCGGGUUGUCCAAAUAGCUCUCUCAAACAUCUACAGUUGAUCCAAAACGCUGCUGCGAGAGUACUGACAGGAGUUAGCAAAAGAGAUCAUAUUUCCCCUAUACUUGCUUCUCUUCACUGGCUUCCUGUUAAAUCCAGAAUAGAAUUUAAAAUCCUUCUUCUGACAUAUAAAGCUCUUAAUAACCAAUCUCCAUCAUAUCUUAAAGAUCUGAUAGUACCUUAUUAUCCUAGUAGAACUCUUCGCUCUCAAACUGCAGGCUUACUUGUUGUUCCUAGAAUUUCUAAAAGUAGAAUGGGAGGCAGAGCCUUCAGUUAUCAGGCGCCUCUCCUGUGGAACCUGCUCCCAGUUUGGGUUCUGGAGGCAGACACCCUCUCUAUUUUUAAGACCAGGCUUAAAGCGUUCCUUUUUGACAAAUCUUAUAGUUGGGGCUGACUGGGUGACCCACAGAGGUUCGGCUUGUGUCUUCAUUGUACAGCUGACUCCUUCUUGGACGUCCCUUCGUUCUGCCUCUAGUCAUGCUGCUAUAGGCCUAGGCUGCUGGGGGACUUUUCUUGACGCACUGAGCCCUUCUCUAUCUACCUUUACAUUUAAUAUGUAUACCGUUAUUGCAGUACAUUCACUCUGUUUCCCCCUGUGCUAUUUCUCCGAGUGUCCCUGGUCCCAGAGCUGGAUGCUUCAGAUCUGCGGUCGAUGUUCCACCAGCUGGUCCAGUCUCCACCAUGUCCACUGUGGGAUGCUGCUACUGACCUUCCACCAGCCCUCUGCUUCCAAUUCCCUUUUUCCACGAGUCAACUCUGCAUCGCCUUCAAUAUACUGUUAUGCUAACUUACAUACUGUUUGAAUUUUACUGCUAGCUAUAUAUGGAGUAUGUUUAAUGUCAGAGCCGUACAUCAUCAGAGUAAACUAUGAGUCAGUUUUCAAUGUUAGCUUAUACUUUGUCUGUGUCACAUAUCCUGUCAUGCAUGUAUUCAAAUGUGUGUUGUGUUUUCCUUGCUUUCUCACCCCUCCCUCUUCUCCCAUCCCUCCCCCUUGCCCUCUUCUGUCCUUCUCAACCCGCCCGGCCAGCAGGCAGAUGGGUCCCCCCUAUUUAGAGCCGGGUUCUGCUCGAGGUUUCUUCCCUGUUAAAAGGGUGUUUUUCCUUGCCACUGUCGCCUUUGGGCUUGCUCUGGGGGUCAGGCAUAUGGGUUCUGUAAAGCGUCUUGAGACGAUUUGACUGUAAUUGACGCUAUAUAAAUAAAAUUGAAUUGAAUUGAAUUGAAUUGAAUUUUUCUCCAUGGAAGUGAAAUUGGACAGAAUAAAACGCUGGGAACAGAAACACCGACCAACAUGGGUCAGGCUGUAAAAACAGGUCAACAUAUUCUGUUAUCUUCCAGUAACAUGAUUCAUACAUGCAUGGAAGUCGUUGGUAUUCAUGACUUUAUGAAGAACUGAUGGAUGUCGUGAUGCACAGAACGGAUUUGUUUACAUUUUAGCUUUGAGUUCCGACUUAUAAAGACAACGACUGCAGAUUGACCUCCUGUACUGUCAUCAUUUGGAAGUAAUAUGAGUUAUAUUCAGAAAACUUUUAAAUGAUUUUAUAAUCCUCUUUUUUUGUGUGUUUUUUACAUGUGUUCCUUGUUUGAAUAAAUUACAGAUAACAUCUAGUAAAUAAUCUGCCGGAUGUCAGAACCGAGACCCGCUAACGGAGAGACAUGAGCAGCAGCUGACAGACGACAGGUUCACGUAUUUAUGGAACAGAACAGGUGCAGAGAUCCUGGGAGACCUGGAGGAACCUGGACCAGAUCCAGAACCCAGCAGGGUCAGGAGGACAGGAGAGACUGGUUCUACCAGCAGGAACAGAAGAGAGAGAGACAGAACCAGUCACUGACAGAACCAAUCACUGACAGAACCAAUCAGUGACAGAACCACAGACAGAACCACAGACAGAAUCAAUCACUGACAGAACCACAGACAGAACCAGUCACUGACAGAACCAAUCACUGACAGAACCACAGACAGAACCACAGACAGAACCACAGACAGAACCAGUCACUGACAGAACCAAUCACUGACAGAACCAAUCACUGACAGAAUCACUGACAGAACCACAGACAGAAUCACAGACAGAACCACAGACAGAACCAAUCACUGACAGAACCACAGACAGAACCAGUCACUGACAGAACCAAUCACUGACAGAACCAAUCACUGACAGAACCACAGACAGAAUCACUGACAGAACCACAGACAGAACCACAGACAGAACCAAUCACUGACAGAACCAGUCACUGACAGAACCAAUCACUGACAGAACCAAUCACAGACAGAACCAAUCACAGACAGAACCACAGACAGAACCACAGACAGAAUCACAGACAGAACCAAUCACAGACAGAACCAAUCACUGACAGAACCAAUCACUGACAGAACCAAUCACUGACAGAACCAGUCACUGACAGAACCACUGACAGAAUCACUGACAGAACCACAGACAGAACCACAGACAGAACCACAGACAGAAUCAGUCACUGACAGAACCAAUCACUGACAGAACCACAGACAGAACCACAGACAGAACCACAGACAGAAUCAAUCACUGACAGCAAACAUAGGAACAAACCUCCAGAGGCUGGAGACUGACUCCCUGAGAAUCCAUCAGUGGGACCGACCAGAACUCUGGAGAGAAGAACAGAGCCAUCUCUGAGACAGAUUUCCCACGAAGCAGCUUAGACGGUUUCUGUCCAUACGUGGUCCAGGGAAUAUCUCAUCAGGUCCAUGGUCCAGAGAACAUCUCAUCGGGUCCAGAGAACAUCUCAUCAGGUCCAGAGAACAUCUCAUCAGGUCCAUGGUCCAGACUCUGUGGGGGGAAUCUUCAUCAAAGACCAAACUGCAUUGUUACAGUUUUGUAGAGUUAAUCUGUAAAUAAUGUUUUUAUGAAAACAGAGAAACUGUAAAAUAACAAAAGUAACUCUUCAGAAAAACAAAAACCAACUUCACUAUAAAAUGUUUAAACUGUGAUGAACAAAGACAGAAUAAAUGAUGUUCCAGUGGUGAAGAGGCAGAUCUGAACUCUACAAACUCUGAGGCAGGACCAGAGAGCCAUCAGAGAGAAUUAUUGAUCAGCUGCUGAUUGAUUAGCUCAUAACAAAGACCAGGACGCUCCACAUCUGAAGCUCCACCAGGCUUUUGUUCCGUCAGAGCUCUGAGUGAAGCAGACAGUCGCCUUUCAGACUCAUUAGCAGCCCUGAUGUGAUGAACUCAUCAAAGGCUGGAGAUGUGAGGAAGCGUUUCCCGCUCUUCCUACCGACAACACUCCCUGUUACCCAGAAUUAUUCAAGAGUGAGAGUUUCAGAGGGAAAGUGUGUCAGGAGCUGCCUCAGAGGACCGAGCAGCAGCUGUGGAGGUCUGGAUGGAGCUCAGCUGAUGUCCACGUCAGAGACACAAACAGCAACAUCAGACACACAACAGGAGAAAACACUCAGGAGAUCAGCACGUCCUGCACAACCACACAAACACCCGCAACAGGAACACCGAGAACACUCUUUUAUUCCUGCUGACACUGAAAACACCUGACCUCAAAGCAGGAACCAUGACCAGAGAUUUUACACCUUUCUGUGUUGGUUUUACUUUUUUUUUUACAUUAAAUUUGUAUAUUUUUGUGUUUUAAAUCUUUUUCUAUGCUGAUUUUACAUCAUUUUUACAUUGAUUUUGCAUCUUUGCAUCCAGGGCCGGCCCAAGCCUUCAGUGGGCCCUAAGCCAAAUUUACCUUGGGGGGGGGGGGGGCCCACGAACGACUUCAGUGCAAAAUUUGAAUAUAUGUCAAGUAGUGAUGGGUAGAUGAGACCCCAUCAUGUGUGUCACACUUUUCCCUCAUUGUAUCAUUCAUGUAUCACACAGUGUCGGUUUGACUAAUUGGUGCCACGAGUGGAUUAAGAAAUGUCCUGCAGCCAAUGAACAAUAAAGUUUGAAACACUUUGUGAUGAAUGAGCUUGACUGAAGGUAAUGCAACUAUUUUUUUAAACUGUAUGUCUAAAAAUAAAUACAAAUAGACUUGAAAGUGUUUUUGUUUGAUAGAGAAAGUAGGCCUACAUGUGAUAAAUUGAAUGUUAUAUUAUCAUUAAAAUGUAGGCUUCAGUGCUUUGUGCCUGUUGUGACCACA